UGCGUAGGCGGUUUGUUUAGUCAGAUGUGAAAGCCCCGGGCUUAACCUGGGAACUGCAUUUGAAACUGGCAGACUGGAGUAUGGUAGAGGGGGGUAGAAUUCAUAGUGUAGCGGUGAAAUGCGUAGAUAUUAUGAGGAAUACCAGUGGCGAAGGCGGCCCCCUGGACCAAUACUGACGCUGAGGUACGAAAGCGUGGGUAGCGAACAGGAUUAGAUACCCUGGUAGUCC
rnacentral:rRNA from 1 species